UCCCUUUAACAGGUUCAUGAAAUUAAUUGUUUACAUUGCGCAGUGCAAUUUGGCCAUCAGGUGUUGGAAGCCAUCAAUUCUUAAUUCUAGUCUUGCUGCUCUUCUGUGUGAAAUAGGUUAUAUUAAUGUGCUGAGCAACAUAUUUGAAGGUAACUGUGUGUGUCCUAUAUGGGAAUAGCUCGCUGACAAUGCUGUGUGGGCCUGGACAUGGGAUUGACUAAUGUGAGAAUUUGUGUUAGGUGUUCCAUUUCAGAAUGUACUCGUACUUCCCUGCCUGUGUUAAUGUCAAUGUGUUUUUUUCUGUUGCCAUUUCAGUCUCUGUGUUAUGUGUAAUGUCCCGGUGUAGUUUUCUCGUUCUCGUUCUCGUUUCUCGUUAGGUUAGCGUCAGUCUAUCCUGUCCUGUGUGCUGUGUAUAAGAUCCCUGCCAUCAUGUCCAUUCGACAUCAGUUCCUGAGUGAUCUGAUCACAUAGGCCACUGCGUGUAGUCAACAAACGGCAAAGACUCCAAAGAAAAGCCUGCCUCUAGCUCAUCAAUACAAUAUCUUGAUUUAAUGUAGCUAUUCAGUUAUUUAGUCAGUGUAAUAAUAGUAGAUGGACGUGUAUUAACAGAUCACGAACUUCAACGAAUCCAAGUUGAAUGAAUCAUGCAACCGACUACAACAAACACGGCGAUUCUUAAGAACAAGUUAAUCUCUGUUUAUAUAGAAAGACAAAUCUGGGAUUUUCCCUCGAUUUUUUUUCUAUGACCCUAGGCGUAUAAUUAAAGCCUCAUGCUGGAAGGCGUGCGAAGGUUAGUCGUAGCCUACACGGCGACAAGGACUUUGGCCGGGGGCUUCUCUGCCCGACUGGUGAACGGUGAUCCAAGAUCUGACUCAGCAAAAAAAAAAAAAAAAACUGAACGACUUCACGACUGAAAGUAGGCGACAUCAUCUUGGUCAGGACCGUUGCGACUUGGGAGUGCGAACGUCGACGAAGCUGAGUUUGUUGCUACUUUUUUUUUUAGCUUUGCGGGAGGUAAGGUCCUUUUCUCUGUCCGCUGGGAGCGCCUCCAGACUGCGCCAGCGCCUAAAAGCUGGGGCACACUCGCUCACCAUGAGCUGCGGUUUGAGCGGUGAUUCACAGGACGUCUCCGUGAUGUGUGAGUUGUAAAGGCGACCAGAUGUGGCGCUCAAAGUUCUGAGAGGACUUUAUGAAUCACCCGCUCCCUCUGCGAGACAGAGGUUACUCGUUUGCUGACUGCGGCAGGACAGAGUCCAGCUGAAGGAAACUGAAACUCGACUCAUCGACUUCUUAGUCAGGCCAUUCAGUUAAAUCUACUGAUGUGUCCGUCGUGAUGUACUAUAUGGAAGAUGACAGCGAAACUCUGAUUACGUCGUUUCUAGUCGAAAUCGUCAGCACUUUCGUAAUAAUGCUGUAGGCCUACUGCCUUAGCUACAUGGAGAAUGCCACAGGAAUAAGCCGAACACUCCCACACUGUCAGAAGAAAGCCCACUGGAGUUCAAUAAAUCAAUCAAUAAUACAAUCACUUAUUCCACUUGUCAACUGGAAGAAUGACCUCAACAAGCACCGGACUUAGGAAUGGAUCCGUUACUGAUGUGGUACCCACACAAGAAGUGCCAGAUCAGGGGUGUAGCCCAUUCACGCCAGACUCGGAUGUAACUAAUAUGAUAAUGUAUCCACAACAUUAAAGGUAAACAGUGCCUCAGUGGAAAGUUGAACGGGUUAAAAUAAGCGUACCUGCCCUGUUGGGCGUGAGACCCCGUCAUGUUUUGGGUUUGACAGGUCUAUUUGCCAUGUAGGAGUAGUCAGGUGUGGCCUGCAAUUCUCAGGAAAUGACUCAGGAAUGCUCCGGUUUAGCCUCACAGUCAAAUUUGGGUCAGUCAGUAUAACUGUCAAAUAACUAUAGGUGUAUUUCUAGUAUUGUAUAGUUCAAUGGUAGGGUGCGCUUAGUCAGUUAUUGAGGAGAGAGGCAUCCCGCAUCUAGCCGCCUGAUACAUGCAGUGGGGUGUAUGUAUACAAUGUUGUAGAAUACAAAAGUAACGAUCUCGAAAUUACUUUUGUCUCCACAAUAAUCCUUAUGAUUUAACACACGCAUAGACCAUAACACUGUCCUAAUCGACGCGGGUCUGUCUUAGCAAAUAGUCACCUCUUUCUCAUGUGUUUGUCACAAAACACACACACACAGACUUGUCUCGACGCUAGAUGUUCCCCUGUGAUUCCAUGAUUCAUAUGUUACAGGGGCCAAUAUCCGGACCAGAGUGAGUGGUCUACAUUAUUUCUUCUCUACAAAUAGCAUGGAGAGGUUUGCAUGGCUCUACAUCUGAAUCCACCAUCUUACUCCUGCCACAUGUCCAUAUCAUUCUACAAACAUAUACGCCUGUGUAUCGCCAUGUGUUUGUGUGUGUGUGUGUGUGUGUGUGUUUGUAUGUUUGUGGGAAGUACGGAUGACAGAACUUAGUUUAUGCAGAUCUAAGCUGAUCCUGGAGAGCAUGUGGUCCCGGCUUGCACCAGAUCCGGCUGGGAUUCUCCUAUUGUGUGGAAGGAACACCGUAUCAGGAGUUGACUGUCACAUGACUCAUGAGAAUUUGAUACGACACUUACGUUCAUUGAGAUUUUUAGAUGUGGGCGUUGCGCACUGACGUAAUUUGCGCAGUUUUAAACACACCUAAAACACGUUGAGUAAGAUCUUCCCGCCCAGCUCCCUGAAUCAUUAAACUUUUUUCCUCUUUCAGGCGGUGCUUCGAAGGACAUCUACUGACUCAUUCAAGUGUUGCUCGGACACUUUGGACGUGCUUUAAGGGUAUUUGGGCUAUAAAACGAAUUUUUAAAAACACGACCGACCUGUCGACGGAUACUUUCGGCAGGAGCAGAAAUGGGAAAACAGGCACGAGGAGAUAGGCCACUCCUUUCUCCACUGGGUAGAGAAAAGAUGGCAAGAUGUUGGCAUAGCUGUAGUUGUGACUGCCCUGCUAUGCCUCCAUAUUGCCAUCGUUUGCUUCCCUUAGCUGCAAGAAGAGGCCUACACCAAAGGCUACACGUGAAGAUACAAGACACCAACGCGAAUGCUUUAAGCAUUCAAUAGUUGCAUUAGGUGGAGUGCGGAGAAGAAAAUAAUAUAACUAACUGCUUUGUCGUAGCAUGUGCAAUAAUUUUGUUGUCAACCAAUGAUGGUGAUCGUGUAGCCAAAUAAGUGUCUUGAACAUCGUUUCGAGAUUUGGAAAGGUUCCAUGUAGGCUACGGUAAGAUGACCUACUCCCGUGCCUGUUAUCCAUCUAAUAGGUCUAUCUAUGCAAUACAGCCACGGAGAUAACGAGCUCACGCAGGGUAUUACACAGUCACAGGUGAGCACGUGAACUAAUGAGGUAACUUGGCCUACUAUUGUAAAGUUCACACCGAUAAAACGUUCUGAACAUUGUACCGAAAACCCCUCUCUAAAUUCAGUUAAAUUUGCAUUAGUUUGUGUAAAUACCUGGGUCCGUUUCUUUUUUAUUUUAAAGUAAAGAUGUACACAGAUAUUGGCAGUAAAUGUACACAUAUAUUGGCGGUAUUUUUAGUCAUAUGUAUCAAACUUAAAACGAAUGGUGGCCUUAAUACACACUUUUAAUUUCACAAUGACUGUUAAUUGACCUUCAACUUUGUAGCUUGUUUUAUCACGUCUCCGCUUUGGCGUGGGCCGAUGGUAGCUUCAAUGUGUGUGUGUACUAGUCUAGGCUAUCUUUAUUAGUGUUCGCUACUUUUCAGACAGUUGAUUUUUUAUUUCUUAAAGAUGUCUUAACCUAACCUUGAUGUCUUAACCUUCAUUUUCAAGCCAAGCCAACCAUAUGAAACCAGAAAAGGUCAAUACAAUCACAAGACGUUCAAUUAUUUCACCUUUUUUUUCCCUUCAAAAUCCCAAAUUACUUUUUAAUACUCGCAGAAGGUUCGCCUACUUGCAUCAUUCAAAUGAAUUGUGAGGCAGGUAGACCUGGACGAAGUAAAGUGAAGCUGUCAGAAUAUAUGACGGAUACAUUGUGUCUGAUCGAGGCAGAUCACCAAUGAUAAAGAAGAUACCGGUAUACAUGGAAAAUAACUAUUAAAUUAACGUCCAUCCACUUAGCAGACACUUGAGUUACAAUACAAGUAGUCCAUGGCCGAAGCAUCUUAUCAGUAGGCUAUAUCAUAGUGAUGGGCAUCAUAUACAUGCUCCAUGGCUUUGGCCACUUCUCCCACCCAUGUUCUUCCACGCAGGUAAUGAAGUCUUGGCCUUGGUGGUGGUGGCACGUAGUAGAAUACUUUUUUUUUAAAUGGUACAAAAAAAGUUAUCAAUGUAAUUCUUUCUCAGGGCCCCCUUGUUCAGAGGCAACAUCAAUAAAUGAGGAUGUAUUGGCGUUGAAUUUCUGAGCUCUUUACUUUGCAACGGCUCCAAACACGACCUCACAGUCAACUAUAAAUCAACAUGUCGAUAACAGCAACUGGCGAUUUUCAUUGAGAGUUUUUCGUUGAUGACACUAACUGUUGACAUGUAAGGUCUAUUCCUGGGUGGGAUUCCAACGUCGACAAGAUCUAGCAAUCAACUUUAAAUGAAGUAGUAUUUCGCGGAACCCACUGAAAAUGUUGCAUUAAAAAUAGCCUGAGCUAACAUAGCUGAAGUUGUAAAUUAAAAAACUUCCUUUUCUUUCUUUCAAUUUGACAAAAUUAAAACCCGCUUAUACGCAUAUCGAACAAGGAUUUUUGGUAGGUUAAUCUUUCAUUUGUAAGACUUAUUUUUCCCAAUGACAAUAUAAAGGUGUAUGUAAGAACAAAAACGUAUUGUCAGACUUUUACGACCAAUACAUUAUAUUAAUGAACCAACCAAAUGCUUUAUGCAAAGGUUUCAGCGACAGGAUAUUACAUGGUCCACUUUUAUUGUAUAUUUUUUGCUUAUUGUACAUUUAUUGUGUAUUUCUGUUUUUGUAUGCACCACUUCAUCUUUGUUAAUUGUGUUCUUAUUUCAAUUUAAAUUAUUACAUUAUUGUUGAAAUUAAGACAGAUUAUAUUAAUUAAAUUAUAUAAAAAUAGAAGAAUUGAAUUAUAUGAUAUUUUCACUGCAGCCUUUAUUUGUACACAUGCGUUUAAUUGUGACUUUAUAGUGACCAAAGUUUGUAGAAUGUAAGUUUCAUCUGUUUUUAAAUAAUUAAAUGGAAAAAGUGGGAAUAAUGUAAA